AUUGAACGCUGGCGGCAUGCCUUACACAUGCAAGUCGAACGGCAGCACGGGUGCUUGCACCUGGUGGCGAGUGGCGAACGGGUGAGUAAUACAUCGGAACAUGUCCAGUAGUGGGGGAUAGCCCGGCGAAAGCCGGAUUAAUACCGCAUACGAUCUACGGAUGAAAGCGGGGGACCUUCGGGCCUCGCGCUAUAGGGUUGGCCGAUGGCUGAUUAGCUAGUUGGUGGGGUAAAGGCCUACCAAGGCGACGAUCAGUAGCUGGUCUGAGAGGACGACCAGCCACACUGGGACUGAGACACGGCCCAGACUCCUACGGGAGGCAGCAGUGGGGAAUUUUGGACAAUGGGCGAAAGCCUGAUCCAGCAAUGCCGCGUGUGUGAAGAAGGCCUUCGGGUUGUAAAGCACUUUUGUCCGGAAAGAAAUCCUUGGCCCUAAUACGGUCGGGGGAUGACGGUACCGGAAGAAUAAGCACCGGCUAACUACGUG
rnacentral:rRNA from 1 species